UCCCUCUAGCCUACUCCCCCUCACAAACCCAUCCACCCCAAACAGAUCCAAACUUCACUGUGCUGAGACCAGACUACAUGGGCUCUCACGGGAGCUGGACUGUCAUCUCCUGGCAUCAGCUGUUGGAAUGCAUCAUGGCCAUGGAGAGUGCCGUUGACUAUCUUGUCUAUGAUCAUCAUUUGUGAUAAGAGUGUGGUUUCCGGCUACAACUCAGAAACUGAAGAGCAGUUUACAGCUAUAGAGUCCACAGUGUUCAACUCUGAGGACGGCACAUCAGAUCAGGAGCAUAUCUGUAGAGUUAUGGAUCGUGAAUUUGUCCCCAGGGCCAGACUGUCCUACUGUAGUGUCCUAAGAUGUCCGAUGAAGAAAAGUCCAUUGUGGGGCUGCAUAUAGUGCAUGAAGAAGUCAGGAUUUUUUUAAGCCAUUAAUGAAGGAGAUCUGCUGCACAUCGCAAAUGCACAACUGCAAUUGGUCAGAAUGUGACUUUGAGGAAGCAGCUGACUGGAAAAGACCUUGAAGGAGAGAACUGCCAACUCUGUAUCAGGGAUAAGUCUGCACAGAGAUGUGGAACAUGAUGAUGGUACCAUGAGUAUAAAAAAAAAUGCAUUUUUGAAAUAAAAAA